AGUGAACGCUGGCGGUAGGCCUAACACAUGCAAGUCGAACGGCAGCACAGUAAGAGCUUGCUCUUACGGGUGGCGAGUGGCGGACGGGUGAGGAAUACAUCGGAAUCUACUUUUUCGUGGGGGAUAACGUAGGGAAACUUACGCUAAUACCGCAUACGACCUACGGGUGAAAGCAGUGGAUCUUCGGACCUUGCGCGAUUGAAUGAGCCGAUGUCGGAUUAGCUAGUUGGCGGGGUAAAGUCCCACCAAGGCGACGAUCCGUAGCUGGUCUGAGAGGAUGAUCAGCCACACUGGAACUGAGACACGGUCCAGACUCCUAAGGGAGGCAGCAGUGGGGAAUAUUGGACAAUGGGCGCAAGCCUGAUCCAGCCAUACCGCGUGGGUGAAGAAGGCCUUCGGGUUGUAAAGCCCUUUUGUUGGGAAAGAAAAGCAGCAGGUUAAUACCCCGCUGUUCUGACGGUACCCAAAGAAUAAGCACCGGCUAACUUCGUG
rnacentral:rRNA from 1 species